rnacentral:rRNA from 1 species
UACGUAGGGUGCAAGCGUUAAUCGGAAUUACUGGGCGUAAAGCGUGCGCAGGCGGUUUUGUAAGUCAGAUGUGAAAUCCCCGGGCUCAACCUGGGAACUGCAUUUGUGACUGUAGAGCUGGAGUACGGUAGAGGGGGAUGGAAUUCCGCGUGUAGCAGUGAAAUGCGUAGAGAUGUGGAGGAAUACCGAUGGCGAAGGCAGCCCCCUGGGCCAAUACUGACGCUCAUGCACGAAAGCGUGGGGAGCAAACAGG